rnacentral:rRNA from 1 species
GAAAGCAGGGGAUCGUAAGACCUUGCGCUUUUGGAGUGGCCGAUGCCUGAUUAGCUAGUUGGUGGGGUAAGGGCCUACCAAGGCAACGAUCAGUAGUUGGUCUGAGAGGACGACCAGCCACACUGGGACUGAGACACGGCCCAGACUCCUACGGGAGGCAGCAGUGGGGAAUUUUGGACAAUGGGCGAAAGCCUGAUCCAGCAAUGCCGCGUGAGUGAAGAAGGCCUUCGGGUUGUAAAGCUCUUUCAGUCGAGAAGAAAAGGUUGUGACUAAUAAUCACAACUUAUGACGGUACCGACAGAAGAAGCACCGGCUAACUACGUGCCAGCAGCCGCGGUAAUACGUAGGGUGCGAGCGUUAAUCGGAAUUACUGGGCGUAAAGGGUGCGCAGGCGGCUUUGUAAGUCAG